GCCUGGGUGGCUCAGUCGGUUGAGCAUCUGACUUAGGCUCAGGUCAUAAUCUCGUGGUUCAUGAGUUCGAGCCCCACAUUGGGCU
rnacentral:tRNA from 1 species